UCUGAAAUAGACUAAUAGGUAGGUCAUGGAUUUUUGAUGUUCAGCUGUGAGUGUUCGAAUCACUCUUUCAGAA
rnacentral:tRNA from 3 species